GAUUAACGCUAGCGGCAGGCCUAAUACAUGCAAGUCGAGGGGCAGCAGGGUGUAGCAAUACAUCGCUGGCGACCGGCGCACGGGUGCGUAACACGUAUGCAACCUACCUUUAACUGGGGAAUAGCCCUCCGAAAGGAGGAUUAACACCGCAUAACAUCACGAGACGGCAUCGCCUUGUGAUCAAACCUCCGGGGGUUAAAAUGGGCAUGCGUCCGAUUAGCUAGUUGGCGGGGUAACGGCCCACCAAGGCGACGAUCGGUAGGGGGUCUGAGAGGAUGAUCCCCCAACUGGUACUGAGACACGGACCAGACUCCUACGGGAGGCAGCAGUAAGGAAUAUUGGACAAUGGUCGCAAGACUGAUCCAGCAUGCCGCGUGCAGGAUGAACGAUCUAUGAUCUGUAAACUGCUUUUGUUCGGGAAUAAACCCCUUCACGUGUGGAGGGCUGAAUGUACCGAAAGAAUAAGGGUCGGCUAACUUCGUGCCAGCA
rnacentral:rRNA from 1 species